AUUGAAAAAUAUAUUGCAACAAUGCAAGUUACUUUUCAUCCAUAUUAGUGCAAACAUGAAUUUGGCAGGAUCUGAACAACUUUAAGGUGGUGAGAUUGGAGAUAUUUUGUGUUUUACAUGCUCAUUUUGAUCUGGAAGGGGCCAGGCACAUAAACCUUGAGAACAAACAUGAUCUGGUUAUCAAGUCUCAUUACAAAUUAUUGUUUGCAUGUAAAAAAUACCUUUGUAUUUGUUCUUCAGCACAUCUGCGUUUUCAUUACACCAGAGCCCUUCACGUCCACGCUCUGUUCGGCAGGCAAACUGCUGUGAGUGGGAAGAGCUGGGACUGCUGCAGUUUUCCCUCUGCAAUAGGUCAUUGCACUGCCGAGCUGCCCUAAUGUGUGAGCAUUUACAUCUGCUAGGAAAAGCCAGUCCAGCCCCUGGUGCGGCCCCAAGCAAUUGCAUACAGCCUUUUUAUCAUCAGAAUAAAAAUGACAAUGACAGCAGAAAAUGGCCGUUCUCCCUGGAGCAGAGCUGAACUUCCCACUUCAAAGGCUCUGGAUGCCUGUCUGGGCAAGGCAGAAGAACAUUCAGUGUUCAAGAAGCUGCUGGGCAAACUGUUUCAGGACACAAAUCCUGAGCUGAGAGUGGCUUUGCUGGAGAGGGAACCGGGCAGCGGAGAAGCCCCACAGCAAGCAGGUAGGAAAUUGGGUGCCACCUCAGGC
rnacentral:lncRNA from 1 species